rnacentral:tRNA from 1 species
GCCCGGAUGGCGGAAUGGUAGACGCGUUGGACUUAGAAUCCAAUAGGUGAAACCCUGUGCCGGUUCAAGUCCGGCUUCGGGCA